rnacentral:piRNA from 1 species
GAAAAGACUUAAGAAACUAGCUGAGACC